AUAUCUCCAUAUAUACAUAUAUAUAUAUAUAUAUAUAUACACACACACACAUAUGUACAGAAAUGCAGAUGAAGACAUUUUAAGUGGUUCUAAUACUUGCAUGAGUGCGAGAUUGCUUUCCAGUGUUUGUAUAAAGUUGGAAAAGUGCCACAGUGGAGAUGUACAAAUACGUUUCACAGUCAGAGAGAAGGAUCUAGAACACAAGGGGCAGUCUGACAAGGCAAUCAAAGCAGAAUAUUCUCCCCAGCUCUGCUUCUGACCAGAAUUAAUCAGAUACAAUGCUCCUAAUUUUCAUGGCCAAGAGAAGAGAGUGGAUGCGAUGUUAGAGUGCCACUUCCCAUGAAGUGGCGCUUCCCACUUGACGGCCAGUUAGUGGAGUACUUGUGUUAAACAUCGUUCAAUACACAGGUAAGGUUUUAGGGAAGCACGCAGAGAAACGAUGUCCAAGCUUCUCACCUAAUACUUCAUCAUAGCAAAGCAGACUUCAAAAUGCAUGGAGGUAUGGGGUCAUCCUGAGAAAGGACUCUUGUAGCAGGCCUAAAGUUGAAGUGGAGAAUUUGUUUUGACAGAACACGGCAUGUUUCUUGUGCCAUGCCCAGGACGUCUGUGCUGAGAUCAGGUGGUGACUUACAAACAAGAGACUGUAUGCCCUGACAACAGGAGGAUGGCAACCAGGGCUCAGAACACAGUUCUGUCCUGCCUCUUUCUGAUACUUCAUGAAAUCCAAACCAAGGAAAAAUGAUGCUGAAAGAAAACAAAGUGCUGAGGCAACACUGUCCCCCUGUAGCAACACCUGUAUCCUGGAGAGUAUAUACAAGACCUGCCCAAAAAUCAACUUACCAAGAGGUACCCCAAUAGGGGCUGCAAGAGACUCAAUGAAAAACUUGGUAUCUGGUGUCCCUCUUCCACUGUGCCAUCCCAAGUGAUCCUGACCAGAUUGCUCUGUGCCUGUGAACACAUGUGUGAGAGUGGGUAAGGGAAAAUCUGUGAUGCAUAAGAGUGAGAUAACCAACCUGCUUAAAAUUAAAGUGGCUUUCCUGGUCCAUAAAAGCUGAGACAGAAAAAUUGGCUGCAGACGUGCUGAGAAGACCCACUCCCAAGAAAUCACAAAGCACCAAUAAAGGUGAACUAUGGAUUCCUGCAUGUGUGUACAAACAUUUUGAUAAUAGAGAUCAACAGGGGGUCAGUGAUGUAACACUUGAUUUAUAGCACUUCUCUAACCUGACAUGAAACAAACCUGAAACACAUAUUGAAAGUAAAUCUGACCUUCCUUCCUACCAGUAAAACAUGGAAAAUUGCCUAUUUCAAUCAUUCUUCUAUGUAGUCACACAGUGUUGUGGAAAAUGCUAUAUCAGAGCAACAUCUGAAAGGAAUGAAUGGGAAGCACACAUGCCAAUUUAACAGACUCUGCUGCAGACUGAGUAAUCCUGUUGGGCUGCUGAUGUAUAUUUAGCUCUUCCAUUAAGAGCAAGUCCUACACUUGGUACUCACAUGAGCGAGCUGCAGGGUCAUGUAAAUAAUCCCCAGGAUUACUCAGAAAUUAUUUUUUAAGGCAUGAUUAACACAUGUCUGGGAGCUGCAGGCUGUGCACAUAGAAUCAUGGAAACAUUCAGGUGGGGAGGCACAUCUGAAAGUCUUUGUUCCCAUCCCCCUUUCCAAGCUCAACUGCCUUCAAAACAAAGUCAGUUUGGUCAGCACCUUGACCGGCUAAAAUUUUAACAUAUCCAGCAUUGGACACCCCACCACCCCUUUUGGCCCUGUCCCAGGGCUGUACUACUGUUGUUUUACGCCUUAUGUACAAACAGAAUUUCUCAUGUUGCAAUGUGUCCCUUUUGUCCCUUAUGACAAGGGUUAAAACAAGACUUUUUAAAGCAAGACAUCCCUGUGAACUUCUGAGAGAAGGUUGGUAACUGUAAGUCAGUGGAUAUCUGCAAUUAGGGCUUUCCUGGGGCAUCCCUUCUCCAUGCUAACAGCCUGAUUCCUUCCAUCUCCCCUCUCUCUCUCAGGUGCACCAGACCCACCCACCAUCUCCAUGGUCUUGCACUGAUCUCUCUUCAGUCUGCCAACAAAUGGUGUCUGCUUCCACCCCUGAUGUGUACACAGGAAUUGUGGCCACCCUGAGAACACAAAGAUUUUUCUGAAGAUGCUCUAAUACUUCUAUGUCUCUAUGUACCAGUCUGUUCAUACAGACUAGAACUGGUCUCUGCAAUGAUGGCUCAUGUCCUCUCCCAUGUGAAAGAGGGAACAGCAGGAGCCCACAUGGUAAAGAAGUGCUCUUUGCCAUGCAAGGCAUUAAGCAGCAGGAGCGUGGGCAGAAGAGGACCUUGCGGCCAACUGGUGAUGGACAUCUGGACUCUGUACAGGUUAGAAAAUGAUACUUAGAGGCAGGAUUUCAUCCUUGCACUUAGGCAGCACCUUCAUCUGACCCCCUCCCAUACUGAUCCCCCUCCCAGUACUGAACAAAUAUGUAAA